GAGGAAAAAGGAACCAACAGGGAUUGCCCCAGUAACGGCGAGUGAAGCGGCAACAGCUCAAAUUUGAAAUCUGGUCCCCAGGGCCCGAGUUGUAAUUUGCAGAGGAUGCUUUUGGUGAGGUGCCUUCCGAGUUCCCUGGAACGGGACGCCAUAGAGGGUGAGAGCCCCGUCUGGUUGGAUACCGAGCCUCUGUAAAGCUCCUUCGACGAGUCGAGUAGUUUGGGAAUGCUGCUCUAAAUGGGAGGUAUAUGUCUUCUAAAGCUAAAUAUUGGCCAGAGACCGAUAGCGCACAAGUAGAGUGAUCGAAAGAUGAAAAGCACUUUGAAAAGAGGGUUAAAUAGUACGUGAAAUUGUUGAAAGGGAAGCACUUAUGACCAGACUUGGCCCCGGUGAAUCAUCCAGCGGUUCCCGUUGGUGCACUUUGCCGGGGUUCAGGCCAGCAUCAGUUCGCUCCGGGGGAUAAAGGCUUUGGGAAUGUGGCUCCCUCGGGAGUGUUAUAGCCCAUUGCGCAAUACCCUGUGGCGGGCUGAGGUUCGCGC
rnacentral:rRNA from 1 species